rnacentral:tRNA from 7 species
AAGAAUGUAGUAUAAAAAAUACAUUUCACUUACACUGAAAAUAUAUUUAAGGAAUAAAUCGUUCUUA